rnacentral:tRNA from 1 species
CAAAAAGUAGUUUAAACAAAACAAAAGCUUUGGAAGCUUUAAUUUUACUAAGUAACUUUUUGA